AUAUCAAUAAGCGGAGGAAAAGAAACCAACAGGGAUUGCCUCAGUAACGGCGAGUGAAGCGGCAACAGCUCAAAUUUGAAAUCUGGCUCCUCUGGGGGUCCGAGUUGUAAUUUGUAGAGGAUGCUUCGGGCAAGGCUGCGGUCUAAUUUGCUUGGAACAGCGAGUCACAGAGGGUGAGAGUCCCGUCUAGGACCGCGCGCCGCGUCCGUGUGAAGCUCCUUCGACGAGUCGAGUUGUUUGGGAAUGCAGCUCUAAAUGGGUGGUAAAUUUCAUCUAAAGCUAAAUAUUGGCCAGAGACCGAUAGCGCACAAGUAGAGUGAUCGAAAGAUGAAAAGCACUUUGAAAAGAGAGUUAAACAGUAUGUGAAAUUGUUGAAAGGGAAGCGCUUGCAACCAGACUUGCGUGUGACGGUUUCCCCCCACCAUCUGGUGGGGCUACUCCGUCAUCUCCAGGCCAGCAUCGGUUUGGGUGGUCGGUCAAAGAUCCCGGGAAUGUAUCUACCUCCGGGUCGACUUAUAGCCCGGGGUGCAAUGCGGCCUACCCGGACCGAGGAACGCGCUUCGGCCCGGAUGCUGGCGUAAUGGUUGCAAGCGGCCCGUCUUGAAACACGGACCAAGGAGUCUAACAUCUAUGCGAGUGUUUGGGUGUCAAACCCCUACGCGUAAUGAAAGUGAACGGAGGUAAGAACCCCGUCAGGGGUGCAUUAUCGACCGAUCCUGAUGUCUUCGGAUGGAUUUGAGUAAGAGCAUAGCUGUUGGGACCCGAAAGAUGGUGAACUAUGCCUGAAUAGGGUGAAGCCAGAGGAAACUCUGGUGGAGGCUCGCAGCGGUUCUGACGUGCAAAUCGAUCGUCAAAUUUGGGCAUAGGGGCGAAAGUGAGUUUUUUAUCCCUCGAGCGAGAAUUCUUGAACAGACUAACCCGUGAUUUCUAGGACCAAUCGAACCAUCGUAUAUCUUUUUAAGCGUUGCCAGGUGGUUAAUUUUCCCAACUCUCCGUUGGGUCAGUCUGAUACUUGAUAUUGGGCGACGUCGUCAGUCUUCGGGGAUGUCCUCACGGUUAUCCGAAGCCGUCCUUAUGUUGGGACGGUUCACAGACUAGACAGUGACGGCCGGAGCCUCUCGACCGGGCACGGUGAUUAUAUAGUCGAGGAAAGUUAUUGGAUCUUGCCAGUAUUUCAACCAGAAUACUCGGCUUGAGAGAAUUCCGUAGCUUUUCAACGCUGGUAGCUGGUUCCUGUCGAAGUUUCCCUCAGGAUAGCAGUAACGUUUUCAGUUUUAUGAGGUAAAGCGAAUGAUUAGAGGCCUUGGGGUUGAAACAACCUUAACCUAUUCUCAAACUUUAAAUAUGUAAGAAGUCCUUGUUACUUAAUUGAACGUGGACAUUUGAAUGUAUCGUUACUAGUGGGCCAUUUUUGGUAAGCAGAACUGGCGAUGCGGGAUGAACCGAACGUGAGGUUAAGGUGCCGGAAUGUACGCUCAUCAGACACCACAAAAGGUGUCAAUGCAUCCAGACAGCCGGACGGUGGCCAUGGAAGUCGGAAUCCGCUUAGGAGUGUGUAACAACUCACCGGCCGAAUGCAUUGGCCCUGAAAAUGGAUGGCGCUUAAGCGUGCUACCUAUACCUCGCCGUUGGGGUUGAAAUGAUGCCCCAACGAGUAGGCAGGCGUGGGGGUUCGUGACGAAGCCUUUGGGGCGACCCUGGGUCGAACGACCUCUAGUG
rnacentral:rRNA from 1 species